CCUACGUGGGACUGCAGUGGGGAAUAUUGCACAAUGGAGGAAACUCUGACCCAGCGAUGCCGCGUGAAUGAAGAAGGUCUUCGGAUUGUACAGUUCUUUCGUCAGGGAAGAAGUCAAUGACGGUACCUUAAGAAUAAGCGCCUGCUUACUUCGUGCCAGCCGCGGCAGUAAUACGUAGGGAGCAAGCGUCGUUCGGGAUGACUGGGCGUGAAGGGUUCGUAGGCGGUUGUACCAGUUAGUAGUGAAAUACCCAGGGCUUAACUCGGGUGCUGCUUCUGAAACUGUAUGACUUGAGUGCAGUAGAGGUUAGUGGAAUUCCUAGUGUAGCGGUGGAAUGCGUAGAUAUUAGGAGGAACACCAGAGGCGAAGGCGGCUAACUGGACUGCAACUGACGCUGAGGCACGAAAGUGUGGGGAGCAAACAGGAUUAGAUACCCGGGUAGUC
rnacentral:rRNA from 1 species